CAAUAGCGUAUAUUUAAGUUGUUGCAGUUAAAAAGCUCGUAGUUGGAUUUCGGAUGGGAUUUGCCGGUCCGUCGUUACGAUGUGCACUGGCCAGUCCUGUCUUGUUGUCGGGGACUAGCUCCUUGGAUUCACUUCCUGGGACUAGGAGCUGACGAGGUUACUUUGAGUAAAUUAGAGUGUUCAAAGCAAGCCUACGCUCUGAAUACAUUAGCAUGGAAUAACACGAUAGGACUCUGGCUUAUCUUGUUGGUCUGUGAGACCAGAGUAAUGAUUAAGAGGGACAGUCGGGGACAUUCGUAUUUCAUUGUCAGAGGUGAAAUUCUUGGAUUUAUGAAAGACGAACUUCUGCGAAAGCAUUUGUCAAGGAUGUUUUCAUUAA
rnacentral:rRNA from 1 species